AAUAUUUUAUUGAGAACCACAGUAAAAACACUUAACAUUAGUUAGUACAAUUUUCACUGAUUAUAAAAAUCUUACAAUAGAGGACUCUGAAGAAUUACUUAAUACUAUGAAAUUAAAAUUAUCUAAAUGCGAUGAAUGAUCCCACCAAACCAAUUGGAAGACUAUGAAGCUAAGGUGAGGAAUAACUUCAGACAAGGCAAGAGGAAAAUGAACAAUUCACAGAAAAUUGAAAAUGGCUAACUUAUAAUGAAAAAUUAUCAAAGAUAUCUACCUUGACACACAAAACAUUUUGGAAACUAUUUAGUAAAAUAAUGCAACAUUGAAAGGUAUUGGCAAAUCUAAGAGAGAUGAUAUGCUGUUUUGAAUUCUGAAUAGGAUAAGAAAAAUAAACAUGAAUUCCUCAACAAGGACCUACUGGCAGUUUUCAUUACAAAACAAAAAUAAAGCUAAGUAUUCUUUCUUUACAAUUGUGGAUGGAAUCAGGAACAUGACAAAUUGAGACUUAUAUUGUUAAAAAUUCCAACAAAGGUUGCAAGAUUCAUGAGGCAUUUAGUUCUUGCAAAAAGAUGACAUUUCAGUUGGCCAUUUGUAAGGGGAUGUCCAUGAAUCCGACUCCUUGAAAGGCAUUAGAAAAAAAAGGCAACAGAAGUAAUCCAUCGUGGUUGCACCAUUUUUUAUAUGAAAGAAUACUUCAUUGGAAUCUUGAACAGCACUUUAGCUCAGAUAUAUAUAUGUGUGUUUAUGAUGGACAUAAAUACAGUAUAAAUUUCCUUUCUUGUUAGCAUGGCACGUACUUCAGUGUUUCAGUCUUGAAGCUGAUGUCAAACAUGCUUUGAGCUUUCAGUUGUUGU